CGGGGGAGGCCGGAUCCUGGGCUGUGUCCCGGCGCCCUGUGCUCCCGGGGCCUGUGCUGGUGGAUUCGCGCUCCCGCCCCGCAGCCCCCU
rnacentral:pre_miRNA from 1 species